GAUGAAGAACGUAGCGAAAUGCGAUACUUGGUGUGAAUUGCAGAAUCCCGUGAACCAUCGAGUCUUUGAACGCAAGUUGCGCCCGAAGCCACUAGGCCGAGGGCACGCCUGCCUGGGCGUCACACGCCGUUGCCCCCCCAUCUACUCCUUCGGGAUUGCGGGGGGGCGGAUGAUGGCCUCCUGUGCGCCUAGCCGCGCGGUUGGCAUAAAUACCAAGUCCUCGGCGACGCACGCCACGACAAUCGGUGGUUGCGAAACCUCGGUUGCCCGUCGUGUGCGUUCGUCGCGCAUCGAGGGCUCGAAAAAAUUGCCGGGCUCCGGCUCGGCUUUCAACGCGACCCCAGGUCAGGCGGGGUUACCCGCUGAAUUUAAGCAUAUCAAUAAGCGGAGGA
rnacentral:misc_RNA from 1 species